AUGCAGUCGAACGAGAAGUACGUAGCAAUACGUAUUGUAAAGUGGCGCACGGGUGAGUAACACGUGGGUAAUCUGCCCUUGAGUUUGGGAUAACCCCGCGAAAGCGGGGCUAAUACCGAAUAAGACCACGGGGAUCAACGUCCCUGAGGUAAAAGAUGGCCUCUAUUUAUAAGCUAUCACUUGAGGAUGAGCCCGCGGCCCAUUAGCUAGUUGGUAGGGUAAUGGCCUACCAAGGCUAUGAUGGGUAGCUGGUCUGAGAGGACGAUCAGCCACACUGGAACUGAGACACGGUCCAGACUCCUACGGGAGGCAGCAGUGGGGAAUAUUGCGCAAUGGGCGAAAGCCUGACGCAGCAACGCCGCGUGGGGGAUGAAGGUUCUCGGAUUGUAAACCCCUUUCGACCGGAACGAAUCUCCUCCUGGUAAAUAAUCAGGAGGAUCGACGGUACCGGGAGAAGAAGCCACGGCUAACUCUGUGCCAGCAGCCGCGGUAAGACAGAGGUGGCGAGCGUGGUUCGGAUUUAUUGGGCGUAAAGCGAACGCAGGUGGUUUGGUAAGUCAGGGGUGAAAGACCACAGCUUAACUGUGGCACUGCCUUUGAUACUGCCUUUCUUGAGUGCAUGAGGGGGAAGCGGAAUUCCGAGUGUAGAGGUGAAAUUCGUAGAUAUUCGGAGGAACACCGGUGGCGAAGGCGGCUUCCUGGCAUGUAACUGACACUCAUGUUCGAAAGCGUGGGUAGCAAACAGGAUUAGAUACCCUGGUAGUCCACGCCCUAAACGAUGGGCACUAGUGUGGGAGGUAUCGACCCCUUCCGUGCCGCAGCUAACGCAUUAAGUGCCCCGCCUGGGGAGUACGGCCGCAAGGUUGAAACUCAAGGAAUUGACGGGGGCCCGCACAAGCGGUGGUGCAUGUGGUUUAAUUCGACGCAACGCGAAAAACCUUACCUAUGCUUGACAUCCCUCGGAAAUCCCUUGAAAGAGGGGAGUGCCGCCAAGGAACCCAGGAGACAGGUGCUUGCAUGCUGUGUCAGCUUCGUGUCGUGAGAUGUGGGGUAAGUCCCGCAACAAGCCU
rnacentral:rRNA from 1 species